GUGGCGCGGACACUCGAAGGCUCGAGCGGGCCUUUCUGUGGAGCCCGAGGGGAAAAAGCCGUUGGCUUCCCCCUCAGCCCGCAGUGGAGCUUGAGGGUAGCCCCGGCUCUCCUCCUCCUCUGAUUCCUCCGCGUGCUCUUCCUCCCCAGAAGCUAUCCCUGAGACCCCGGGACGGGGUAGCAGGAGGGAGAGCUCCGGAAGCCGGACCGGGAGCUCUGAGAAGAGAACGCGACCGGCGAGAAUGGUGGGCCCCGAGAACGUUGACAGGCCCAGCGGCUCCCGAAGCUGAGCCUGGAGGGGAAACUGCAGCUUAGGAAACCAGGGCGGACAGCCCCGAGCUGAAUCACCAAAACAUCGCAAAUCCACACCCAGAGCUUUGUCUUAUUCAACUUCUUUUGUGAUCUUUGAUGAAUUAGGGGUUUUGAAGAGAGGCUUGUAUUAACUUAUCUCAUCCAUCAGAAGGACAUUUGCCCUUCUCCAGUCCAGUGAUACUUCUAUUCUACAUGAUCUUUCAGAGUUCAAUGACAGUACCUCAACAAUCACAUCUACCAGUCCUUCUAAGCUCAUCUGAACUUGGUGACAUGAACACAUAGGGGCAGGAAAGAAAAGAAUGGAGGAAUUAAGGAAAGAUAUCAACAGAUGGUGUUUUUUGCACAGGAGUAUGUGAAUAUUCUACUCUAUUCCAGUGGAAAGGCCUACAAAAUCUAAAAGUUGUAAGUAGUAUAGCCAGAAUCAAACCAUGGUGAUGUAAAAGCAUUUUGAGUGACUUUCUUCUGUGAUAUAAAUUAAUCAUGUAUAAUCACCAAA